GACACUAUAUCUGGAGCCAGGAAUAAUAGGAUCCGAGAAACAGUAACAAGUAUAAAACAAAGUGGUCUUGAACUCCUGGCCUCAAGUAAUCCUCCCCACUGGGCUUCCCAAAGUGCUGGGACUACAGAG
rnacentral:misc_RNA from 1 species